GGGGGCGACUGGCUUCGACGGGACGGUCUGAGUCCGGGUGAAGCAUGCCGAGUUAACUAUCUUCUCGUAAAAAAAGGUAGGCAAACACAGUCGGCAACGACUACGAUUACGCCCUGGCUGCCUAAAAACCGCCAGCGUCCGGCAUACCUUUUCCUGCGGGGUUUGCAGGACGACAAUUAGCAGGAUGGCCCUUGGGGCUAGGUCCGAAGGACCUGGGGGCGAGACUCAACCGGACUGGCUUUCCUGAAACUUGCCUGCAGAGAGCAGGGGAGCGAGACUAAAUCUGUGGGCUAAGCAUGUAGAAGAAACGGAUAAGCGUUUCCGGACGUGGGUUCGAUUCCCACCGCCUCCACCA
rnacentral:tmRNA from 1 species